rnacentral:rRNA from 1 species
AUUGAACGCUGGCGGCAGGCCUAACACAUGCAAGUCGAACGGUAACAGGAAACAGCUUGCUGUUUCGCUGACGAGUGGCGGACGGGUGAGUAAUGUCUGGGAAACUGCCUGAUGGAGGGGGAUAACUACUGGAAACGGUAGCUAAUACCGCAUAACGUCGCAAGACCAAAGAGGGGGACCCUCGGGCCUCUUGCCAUCGGAUGUGCCCAGAUGGGAUUAGCUUGUUGGUGGGGUAACGGCUCACCAAGGCGACGAUCCCUAGCUGGUCUGAGAGGAUGACCAGCCACACUGGAACUGAGACACGGUCCAGACUCCUACGGGAGGCAGCAGUGGGGAAUAUUGCACAAUGGGCGCAAGCCUGAUGCAGCCAUGCCGCGUGUAUGAAGAAGGCCUUCGGGUUGUAAAGUACUUUCAGCGGGGAGGAAGGGAGUAAAGUUAAUACCUUUGCUCAUUGACGUUACCCGCAGAAGAAGCACCGGCUAACUCGGUG